AAACUUUGGAAGGAGGGCGCCAACAAGUUUCGUUCAGCAGCAGAGCAUCUGAUCCUUUGCAGAGCAGGUGCACAAAACCAGGUGGCCAGGAGGGUCUGGCCCACCAGCUCUGGUUUGCUCUGAGUCCCACAGACAACGGUACUGGUUAAGAAUGAAGGCCGCGGCUGCGUUUGGAAGGGUGACACGAGCUUGGAAGGCUCCUCUUCCCCACUGGCCGGUUGUAAUAGUCAGCUCAGGCUGUCAUAAUGAAGGAUCACAGACUGGGAGGCUGGAACAAGAGAAAUUAAUGGUAUCCCAGUUCUGGAGGCCGGAAGACCAAGAUCAAGGUAUCA